GAUGAACGCUGGCGGCGUGCCUAAUACAUGCAAGUCGAGCGAACAGACGAGUAGCUUGCUCCUCUGACGUUAGCGGCGGACGGGUGAGUAACACGUAGAUAACCUACCUCUAAGACUUGGAUAACUUCGGGAAACCGGAGCUAAUACCGGAUAAUAUAUUGAACCGCAUGGUUCAAUAGUGAAAGACGGUUUUGCUGUCACUUAUAGAUGGAUCCGCGCCGCAUUAGCGAGUUGGUAAGGUAACGGCUUACCAAGGCGACGAUGCGUAGCCGGCCUGAGAGGGUGAGAGGCCACCCCGGAACUGAGACACGGUCCAGACUCCUACGGGAGGCAGGAGGAGGGAAUCGUCCGCAAUGGGCGAAAGCCUGACGGAGCAACGCGGCGUGAGUGAUGAAGGUCUUCGGAUCGUAAAACGCUGUUAUUAGGGAAGAACAAAUGUGUAAGUAACUAUGCACGUCUUGACGGUACCUAAUCAGAAAGCCACGGCUAACUACGUG
rnacentral:rRNA from 1 species